rnacentral:rRNA from 1 species
GAUGAACGCUGGCGGCGUGCCUAAUACAUGCAAGUCGAGCGAACAGACGAGGAGCUUGCUCCUCUGACGUUAGCGGCGGACGGGUGAGUAACACGUGGAUAACCUACCUAUAAGACUGGGAUAACUUCGGGAAACCGGAGCUAAUACCGGAUAAUAUAUUGAACCGCAUGGUUCAAUAGUGAAAGACGGUUUUGCUGUCACUUAUAGAUGGAUCCGCGCCGCAUUAGCUAGUUGGUAGGGUAACGGCUUACCAAGGCAACGAUGCGUAGCCGACCUGAGAGGGUGAUCGGCCACACUGGAGGUGAGACAGGGUCCAUACUCCUACGGGAGGCAGCAGUAGGGAAUCUUCCGCAAUGGGCGAAAGCCUGACGGAGCAACGCCGCGUGAGUGAUGAAGGUCUUCGGAUCGUAAAACUCUGUUAUUAGGGAAGAACAAAUGUGUAAGUAACUAUGCACGUCUUGACGGUACCUAAUCAGAAAGCCACGGCUAACUACGUG